GUGGGGAAUUUUGGACAAUGGGCGCAAGCCUGAUCCAGCAAUGCCGCGUGCAGGAAGAAGGCUUUCGGGUUGUAAACCUCUGUCCUUGGUGACGAAACAAAUGACGGUAGCCAAGGAGGAAGCCCCGGCUAACUACGUGCCAGCAGCCGCGGUAAUACGUAGGGGGCGAGCGUUGUCCGGAAUUACUGGGCGUAAAGGGUGCGUAGGUGGCCUUUUAAGUUGGAUGUGAAAUACCCGGGCUUAACUUGGGGGGUGCAUCUAAUACUGGAGGGCUAGAGUGCAGGAGAGGAAAGCGGAAUUCCUAGUGUAGCGGUGAAAUGCGUAGAUAUUAGGAGGAACACCAGUGGCGAAGGCGGCUUUCUGGACUGUAACUGACACUGAGGCACGAAAGCGUGGGGAGCAAACAGGAUUAGAAACCCGGGUAGUCC
rnacentral:rRNA from 1 species